rnacentral:sRNA from 1 species
GCUGGGCAUGGUGGCGCAAGCCUGUAAUCCCAGCAUCUCGGGAAGCUGAGACAGGAGGACCGCAAGUUCAAAGCCAGCCUCAGCAACGGUAAGGUGCUAAGCCAUUCAGUGAGACUCUGUCUCUA